CAGUCGCCGCGGGAAAACAGAGGGUGCAAGCGUUAAUCGGAAUUACUGGGCGUAAAGCGCGCGUAGGUGGUUUGUUAAGUUGGAUGUGAAAGCCCCGGGCUCAACCUGGGAACUGCAUCCAAAACUGGCAAGCUAGAGUACGGUAGAGGGUGGUGGAAUUUCCUGUGUAGCGGUGAAAUGCGUAGAUAUAGGAAGGAACACCAGUGGCGAAGGCGACCACCUGGACUGAUACUGACACUGAGGUGCGAAAGCGUGGGGAGCAAACAGGAUUAGAUACCCCAGUAGUCCCUGUCUCUUAUAC
rnacentral:rRNA from 1 species